rnacentral:rRNA from 1 species
CCUACGGGAGGCAGCAGUGGGGAAUAUUGCACAAUGGGAGCAAGCCUGAUGCAGCAACGCCGCGUGAGGGAAGAAGGCCUUCGGGUUGUAAACCUCUGUCC